UACGUAGGUGGCAAGCGUUAUCCGGAAUUACUGGGUGUAAAGGGUGUGUAGGCGGGUUUGCAAGUCAGAUGUGAAAAUUAUGGGCUCAAACCAUAACCUGCGUCUGAAACUACAGAUCUUGAGAGUGGGAGAGGUAAACGGAAUUCCCGGUGUAGCGGUGAAAUGCGUAGAUAUAUGGAAGAACACCAGUGGCGAAAGCGGCUCUCUGGUCUGUAACUGACGCUGAGGUUCGAAAGCGUGGGUAGCAAACAGG
rnacentral:rRNA from 1 species